CUGAAGGCAAUACUGAGCCUGCAGGAGGCCAGGAAGCAGGGACAGCCCUUUGGGAAGCAAGAGUUGGCUACACCGGCCAGAAUGGUGCCAAGCCCUCCAAAGAUAUCUGAUGAGAACAUCUACCUGGAAUGUGAGCCCAGUCCAGUCCUGGCCUUGACUCGAACUCUGAGCUCUCAAGUCCUGAUGCCCCCAGACCCUCUUCCAAGGACAUCAGUGGUGCCCAGGUCCACCGUAGCCCCCCAGGAAGCUUGGAAUGUAAGAGGCUAGUAGCCAGGGGAGAAGUAACCUGGGGCGGGGAGCUCAGGGAGGGAC